rnacentral:rRNA from 1 species
UUGAGUACGGGAGAGGAAAGUGGAAUUCCUGGUGUAGCGGUGAAAUGCGUAGAUAUCAGGAGGAACACCGGUGGCGAAGGCGGCUUUCUGGUCCGAUACUGACGCUGAGGCGCGAAAGCGUGGGGAGCAAACAGGAUUAGAUACCCUGGUAGUCCACGCCGUAAACGAUGGGCACUAGGUGUUGGGGGUAUUGACCCCUUCUGU